rnacentral:rRNA from 1 species
AUUGAACGCUGGCGGCAGGCCUAACACAUGCAAGUCGAGCGAGCGGCGGACGGGUGAGUAAUAUAUGGGGGAUGCCCGAUAUAGUGGGGUAACGCCUGGAAACGGGGUCGAAAAUCCCAUACUACCGGAUAACACAUAUGGUAUUAGCUAGUAGGUGUGGUAAUGGCUCACCUAGGCGACGAUCCCUAGCUGGUCUGAGAGGAUGAGCAGCCACACUGGGACUGAGACACGGCCCAGACUCCUACGGAGGCAGCAGUGGGGAAUAUUGCACAAUGGGCGCAAGCCUGAUGCAGCCAUGCCGCGUGUAUGAAGAAGGCCCUAGGGUUGUAAAGUACUUUCAGUCGGGAGGCGUUACCGACAGAAGAAGCACCGGCUAACUCCGUGCCAGCAGCCGCGGUAAUUC